rnacentral:rRNA from 1 species
UACGUAGGGUCCGAGCGUUGUCCGGAAUUAUUGGGCGUAAAGAGCUCGUAGGCGGUCUGUCGCGUCGGCUGUGAAAACCUGGGGCUCAACUCCAGGCCUGCAGUCGAUACGGGCAGACUAGAGUUCGGUAGGGGAGACUGGAAUUCCUGGUGUAGCGGUGAAAUGCGCAGAUAUCAGGAGGAACACCGAUUGCGAAGGCAGCUCGCUGGAACGUUACUGACGCUGAGACGCGAAAGCGUGGGGAGCAAACAGG